GCAUUCAAUAAUCUCAAGCAUAAGUCAUAUAUGAACAUGAACAUCAGUCAUUCAAACAAGAGUUUGGGGCGGAGAGCCCUCUUCGGGAUAUCUUCAAAUUAAGUGCUUCACCGUCUUUUUGAAAGGAAAAGAAAUCGCGGGAUUUAUUCUAAACCUCAGCAACAUGGAACAUAAAUCAAGAUCCAAAGCUAAUAACGCUUCUUGCCUAUAAGCAGCCACCGACGAUAAGUAGUCUAGCCAGAUUAUCACCAAAAAACCAAAGGGCCCUCACAAUGUGGGCAAGAUUCUUUCUACCUUCUUGUUCAUGCAGAAUCCUUUUCAAGCUGAAAGUCGAAAAGGAGCCAAAUUGCAAAUGUUCUGCUUCUACAACGAAACAAAUUAGUGCUAGCAGUUUUUCUUGACAUAUUCAUAGACACGUGUCACACCAGAUGUGCCGUGCUUCCUUUUGCUUUAUAUAAAGCCCAAUUAUUCGGA